rnacentral:rRNA from 1 species
AUUGAACGCUGGCGGCAGGCCUAACACAUGCAAGUCGAGCGGUAGAGAGAAGCUUGCUUCUCUUGAGCGCGGCGGACGGGUGAGUAAUGCCUAGGAAUCUGCCCGGUAGUGGGGGAUAACGUUCGGAAACGGACGCUAAUACCCCAUACGGCCUACGGGAGAAAGCAGGGGACCUUCGGGCCUUGCGCCAUCAGAUGAGCCUAGGUCGGAUUAGCUAGUUGGUGGGGUAAUGGCGCACCAAGUCGACGAUCCGUAACUGGUCUGAGAGGAUGAUCAGUCACACUGGAACUGAGACACGGUCCAGACUCCUACGGAAGGCAGCAGUGGGGAAUAUUGGACAAUGGGCGAAAGCCUGAUCCAGCCAUGCCGCGUGUGUGAAGAAGGUCUUCGGAUUGUAAAGCACUUUAAGUUGGGAGGAAGGGCAGUGAAUUAAUACUUUGCUGUUUUGACGUUACCGACAGAAUAAGCACCGGCUAACUCUGUGCCAGCCGCCGCCGUAA